GAUGAACGCUGGCGGCGUGCUUAAUACAUGCAAGUCGAACGAAGAGCUUUUGCAGCAAUGCGAGGGUUUCUUAGUGGCGAACGGGUGCGUAACGCGUUGGUGACCUGCCCCAAAGUGUGGGAUAACAGUUCGAAAGGACUGCUAAUACCGCAUGUUGUCAUCGUUUUUAGAAAUCGAUGAUUAAAGGAGUAAUCCACUUUGGGAGGGGCCUGCGUCCCAUCAGCUAGUUGGUAGGGUAAUGGCCUACCAAGGCGUCGACGGGUAAGGGACCUGAGAGGGUGGCCCCUCACAAUGGAACUGAAAUACGGUCCAUACACCUACGGGUGGCAG
rnacentral:rRNA from 1 species